rnacentral:rRNA from 1 species
CAGGGAAUAAACCCCUCGAUGCGUCGGGGGCUGAAGGUACCUGAAGAAUAAGCAUCGGCUAACUCCGUGCCAGCAGCCGCGGUAAUACGGAGGAUGCAAGCGUUAUCCGGAUUCAUUGGGUUUAAAGGGUGCGCAGGCGGGCAUAUAAGUCAGAGGUGAAAUGCUACGGCUCAACCGUGGAACUGCCUUUGAUACUGUAUGUCUUGAGUUUAAUUGAAGUGGGCGGAAUGUAGCAUGUAGCGGUGAAAUGCAUAGAGAUGCUACAGAACACCGAUAGCGAAGGCAGCUCACUAAGUUACAACUGACGCUCAUGCACGAAAGCGUGGGGAUCAAACAGGAUUAGAUACCCUGGUAGUCCACGCUGUAAACGAUGAUCACUCGUUGUUGGCGAUACACAGU